AUUCGAAGAAAAAAUCAGUGCCUAGAAGUUGAAUUGUAAGCCAACCGUGAUUAAUUAUUUUUAAAAUGCAGUCAACCCAAUUUUGACACGAAAUGUCAUCGAAAUCUGGUGUUUGCUAAUACUCUAUAGAAUGAGAACCUAGCAGUAACACUUGAGAAAGAAAAAAGAAGAACAAUUAAAGUAAAAUCUCUUCUCUAAAUGAUAAAAUCCUUUCUCACCUACUAUGCACUGUUUUGCGAUUAUAUUAAGUCGUGAAGUACCGGUAAACCCGUUUUUGUGUUUGGUUGCAAAC